CCUUGAUGACUGGCGGGACCCUCCCAGGGCUCUGCAUCCAGCGAUCCCACACAACCUCAGUCCUGGGAGGGGCUGCUGCCAUGCCCGGCCCCCACAGGGCUCUGCAGCAAACACAGAGCAAAAGCACAGCUGCCACUGGAGAGGCAGCAUUUUUUGGCUGGAGCACGGACUGGAGCUCUGUACAGCAGGACCUUUUUUCAAAAGGCACUACAAAGAUGCCUUAUCAGUCUUUAUAUAUGAUCAUAAUGUGGAGCAUAUAUCAACGGGAUUCUUCAGAGCUGGAGAAGAAUUGCAAUCUCUGAGCACUUGCACAAUCCUGAGUGGCAAGCCAGGGGCAAGCAGGUUGCAAAGGCCUCACCAUCCAUGUCACAGGUUGUGCUUCCCCUAAGGCUGACAGCAACCAUCACCCCCUUUUGCAAGCACAUCAUUUGGCAUGCUUUGGUUUGGAAGACCAAACUACAUCCUAGUAAUGCAUUUCCCUAACAAGUCAGCUCUUAUGUGAAUUCAAAAUGACACCAAUUUCACAGCUAUCUCUCAUGGCACAAGCAAAUUUCAAAAUUAUUCACAGAAAUUUUAUAAUGUUUUCCUUCUGGGUGUGAAACAGAGAAAGAAUCUUCAAAUUCAUAUCAUCCAAUGCUUCAGUCUUAUUUCUUGAAAUGCCCCAAACUGCUCAAUUUCAAGCUGUUUUAGUGUUAAGAUGCAUUUUCCUUUGUCUUCUAAAAGUCUGAGGAAGGUUAAACGCCUCUUCUUUGCUACAGGCUGUGCUAUGUAGAUCAUAUCUCCUGUGAUUUAACUCUGCUUAGUCAGAAAGGAACCACCAUCAUGUACCAUUUUGCUUUAUUCUUAAAGUUCAGCUGGCUAGAGAAGAGGGUGAAAAUGAUAACUCCCCUUACCCUA